UACGAGGGGGGCGAGCGUUAAUCGGAAUUACUGGGCGUAAAGGGUGCGUAGGCGGUUGUUUAAGUCUGUCGUGAAAUCCCCGGGCUCAACCUGGGAAUGGCGAUGGAUACUGGGCAGCUAGAGUGUGUCAGAGGAUGGUGGAAUUCCCGGUGUAGCGGUGAAAUGCGUAGAGAUCGGGAGGAACAUCAGUGGCGAAGGCGAUCUUCUGGACGGAUACUGACGCUGAGGCGCGAAAGCUAGGGGAGCAAACAGG
rnacentral:rRNA from 1 species